rnacentral:rRNA from 1 species
GUACGGGGGGGGGCAAGCGUUGUUCGGAAUUACUGGGCGUAAAGGGCUCGUAGGCGGCCAACUAAGUCAUACGUGAAAUCCCUCGGCUUAACCGGGGAACUGCGUCUGAUACUGGAUGGCUUGAGUUCGGGGAGAGGGAUGCGGAAUUCCGAGGUGUAGCGGUGAAAUGCGUAGAUAUCUGGGAGAUACCAGUGGCGAAGGCGGCUCACUGGACCGGUUCUGACGCUGAGGCGCGGAAAGCGUGGGGAGCAAACGGGG